rnacentral:rRNA from 1 species
UGGCGGCAUGCCUUACACAUGCAAGUCGAACGGCAGCACGGGAGCAAUCCUGGUGGCGAGUGGCGAACGGGUGAGUAAUAUAUCGGAACGUGCCCAGUCGUGGGGGAUAACGUAGCGAAAGCUACGCUAAUACCGCAUACGAUCUAUGGGAUGAAAGCGGGGGAUCGCAAGACCUCGCGCGAUUGGAGCGGCCGAUAUCAGAUUAGGUAGUUGGUGAGGUAAAGGCUCACCAAGCCGACGAUCUGUAGCUGGUCUGAGAGGACGACCAGCCACACUGGGACUGAGACACGGCCCAGACUCCUACGGGAGGCAGCAGUGGGGAAUUUUGGACAAUGGGCGCAAGCCUGAUCCAGCAAUGCCGCGUGCAGGAUGAAGGCCUUCGGGUUGUAAACUGCUUUUGUACGGAACGAAACGGUGAGCUCUAAUACAGUUUGCUAAUGACGGUACCGUAAGAAUAAGCACCGGCUAACUACGUG